GACGAACGCUGGCGGCGUGCCUAAUACAUGCAAGUCGAGCGAGUCUGCCUUGAAGAUCGGAGUGCUUGCACUCUGUGAAACAAGAUACAGGCUAGCGGCGGACGGGUGAGUAACACGUGGGUAACCUGCCCAAGAGAUCGGGAUAACACCUGGAAACAGAUGCUAAUACCGGAUAACAACAGAUGAUGCCUAUCAACUGUUUAAAAGAUGGUUCUGCUAUCACUCUCGGAUGGACCUGCGGUGCAUUAGCUAGUUGGUAGGGUAACGGCCUACCAAGGCGAUGAUGCGUAGCCGAGUUGAGAGACUGAUCGGCCACAUUGGGACUGAGACACGGCCCAAACUCCUACGGGAGGCAGCAGUAGGGAAUCUUCCACAAUGGACGCAAGUCUGAUGGAGCAACGCGGCGUGAGUGAAGAAGGGUUUCGGCUCGUAAAGCUCUGUUGUUGGUGAAGAAGGACAGGGGUAGUAACUGACCUUUGUUUGACGGAAAUCAAGUAGAAAGUCACGGCUAACUACGU
rnacentral:rRNA from 1 species